GCGCUCGGUGGGACGGGUGGACGCAGUGUCUGCAGUACGGCGCUCAAACAGCCAGGACAGGCAGAAGGGUUCGGGAUUGGUGGCCCAUGUAGACUUACAGCCCUGGGAGCUGCUGGCACCCUGCUGCCAUGUCCCUGCUGACCUCAGAUCCAUGAGACGCUGCGCCCACCAGCCUGUGAUCUCCCAGCUUUCACUUCUCCUACCUGCCUCAUCACCUGGCAGGAGAUCCAGCCUUACACAAAUAUGCCAAAAAAAUCUUGUUUCGCACAGGACUGAACUGCAACCAUGUAAUUUUAAGGGUUCCCAGAGAGGGAGCUGAUGGAAUUCACCUCGGUUGCAGAUUCUGAGAACUAUCUCCAAAGCAUCCACCCAUCACGAUCAUACACCCAUGGAGGAAGAAGACGAACAUUCAGGUUAGUAGAGAAGCUUGAGGCACUGGAUCGUACCAGUCGAAAUGGUUGGAUUAGUCUAUGUUCUACUGCAGAUGGGUGUUCAACAAACAAUGAACUUGAAACACGUCUUAAACCUCAGCGACUACCCUCCACUGGCUUCCAGUCCUCCUCACUGGACGCACUCUGCCCGCGCUAUCGGCUGAGGUGCUCUUCACGCUCAUCUAAUAAACCCAGUGCGGAGGGUCCUGCGGUCA